GGAUCGAUAGCUCAGUGGCAGAGCGGGGGGGCGUUUUCCCAUGCGGCCCGGGUUCGAUUCCCGGUCGAUGUA